UAUUUUCUCCGAUGGCUACCCUAUUUUUACGCCACGGUAUGUUGGUAUUAUUGUUGGUGACACGUAAAUUGUAUCUACAACAGUGUGCCUAAAGAGUGUCCACGUGGACAUUUCUUUCGGCCGACCUUUAUCGUGUGUCUCUUUCGGGUGAAUCACUACUAUAAUAUUACAGUUCGGUGAUCCAUAUUUUCCCAUCUAUUUACUCGUGAUUUUUAAAAAAAUUACCAAUCUGUUUGUCUUUUCUAGUUUGUAAUGAUUCAUCGUUCUAAUAUUACACGUGUUUAAAAUAAUUUUUAAAAUGAAAAAUUUUUUCUAUCGUAAAAAUUAUUUCUCCUUAGAGAAGACUGAGAAUUUUUAGCAAUAAUAACAUAAUAAUUCUAAAUAUACUUCAAUUAAUGAGAAAUGUUUUAUUUUUACAAUGAAUUUUAUUUCGAAACAGUGACAUACUAAAUUACUACUACCAUGCGACAAAUGUUCUAGCAUAUCGUUGCGGGCAUAUCGCGGACAGGCAACUGAAUUAAUUACAACGCUCGAGACGCUUCCCGGCGAAGUUAAAUAAGCGUUAACGUUGAAUUUUCAUUUCCCGCCAUGUUGACGCCGAAACCAGCCGAAUUUCAGGGACGAUCGCAAAGCUGUGCCACGUGCGAUAUCAAGGCUAUAUUUCAACAAUAGGAAAAAAUGAAAGUAGUACGAUAGUUGCACAAUGUUGAAUCAGGAAGUUGAAUCAGAAAGGAAGAAAAACAUAUUAUUUUUAUAAAAAACGAAAAACAAGUCGACAAAAUAAUUCAACUUGUAACAUACUACCACUAAUAUGAUGAUAUUUUACGAAAUGAAUCAGCUAUUACGAAAGUUUCAACUUUGAUAAAACUAAUAUGGCACGUUCAGCCAUAAAUUUCUAUUUUAAAAUCUAAAUUUCUUAGAAAUAAAUAGAAAUCUAAAUCUUUUGUACCCAUGGUCAACAACUUUAUAGGAAGAAUUAAAGUAAUUUCAUACUUGUCACGCACGAAAUGAAGUAUGUAUACCGGAAGUCAAUGUUCUAAGCUUAGUUAGUCAAUCGGAUUACGAUACACGAAACCAGAGAUAUAGAAAGGCCAUGAAAAAAAUAUAUUAACAACGAACAAAUUAUUUAGAAGAAGAAAGAUCAGUAGAAGCAGUGAGAACAUAACGUGAGAACACAUGAUCGAAGAAGCUUACGGAAAAAUUGAGUAUUACGUAAUUUAAUUACCAUUGAACAUAAUUUUAAAAUCUUAUGUAACAACAACAGAGAAUGAAAUAAAUGAAAAUUUUCUCGUCAUAUAAUAAUAUAAUAUAUUGCACAAAAGAUAGGAUCCACAUAAAACCGUUAAUAUUUCCGUUGUUUUUCAAAAAUUUCUUUUGCUUGUGUGCGUAUAUAUGUAUAUAUAGCAUGUAUAAGUGUUCGCGAUGUUCUGUUGACAUGAAGAACCGUUAGAAGGAUUCUAACAUUCGUUUAUGUGUGUUAUUACUAAUCUAUUCCCGAAAACGAGUUUACAACGAACGCAUUAUGAAGUUUCCAACAUUUAAAAAUAUCAAAUAACGAUCUUUUCUAAUAAUAUGUAUUGAACGAUAUCAUUAGAAUGGAUACUAAAAAUUUUAAGAAUAAUCGAGAAUAAAAAAAAA
rnacentral:lncRNA from 1 species